AUGCUUCUUUUUUUUCAUAGAAAGAUUUCCAUGAUAGACAAUUUCUCUUUCGGCAAAAAUUAGGAUCGAAAUAAUUAAGGGAACGUUGAAUAUUGCGAGAAGAAACGGAACGAAAACCUUUUUGUAAUCGAUCGUUAAAAAUCCAAUUGAAUUUCGUCAAGGAUUUUUUAGAGAAGCUGACAAUGUAACGAACGUAUUCGCACAUUUCGUUGUUCGCGUUGCCACGCAAUCUGUCUCAACGCUUAUUAUUAACGCCAAUUACAACGUAACAUAUAAAUACACGAAUCCUUAAAAUUCUCAAGAUACGUAAAAAGCACGCUUGGUCAAACAAAUUCUGUUAAUCUCCAUUCUGCAAUUUUUCAUUACGUUUAUAUCACUGAAAAUAUAACUGAGAGAAUGUAAAUGAGAUUUGGUAUCAAUAGCGUGACAAAGAAUUGG
rnacentral:misc_RNA from 1 species